rnacentral:rRNA from 1 species
AUCCCCGACAAGCUCCUGGCGGAUAUCUUCCUCCGCCUUCCCACCCCAGAGGACCUUAUCCGCGCCUCCGCCGCCUGCGUCUCCUUCCGCCGUCUCGUCGCCAACCGCGCCUUCCUCCGGCGCUUCUGCAAUCUCCACCCCGCGCCCCUCCUCGGCUUCCUCGACUACAGCGGCUUCCACCGCGCGGUACCGCCUCACCCCUCCGCCCCGGCCGCCCGCGCCGUCGCCAAAGCUGCCGACUUCGACUUCGAGUUCCUCCCCGGGUCUUCCUUGGACUGGUCCAUGCGGGAAGUCAGCGACGGCCGCGUCUUCCUUGACAGACCCAGCCGUCACGACGAGCUCGGAUCCGUCUUCAAGGAGAUGGUGGUGUGCGACCCCUUGCACCGGCAGUAUCUCCUGCUCCCCCGGUCCCCGGUGACCUAG